UAGAGUUUGACGUCUGCUCAGGACACGCUGGCGGCGUGCUUAACACAUGCAAGUCGAACGAUGAAGCCUAGCUUGCUAGGUGGAUUAGUGGCGAACGGGUGAGUAAUACGUGAGUGACCUACCUUUGACUCUGGGAUAAGCCUGGGAAACUGGGUCUAAUACCGGAUACGACCAAUCUCCGCAUAGGGUGUUGGUGGAAAGCGUUAUGGAGUGGUUUUAGAUGGGCUCACGGCCUAUCAGCUUGUUGGUGAGGUAAUGGCUUACCAAGGCGGCGACCGGGUAGCCGGCCUGAGAGGGUGACCGGCCACACUGGGACUGAGACACGGCCCAGACUCCUACGGGAGGCAGCAGUGGGGAAUAUUGCACAAUGGGCGCAAGCCUGAUGCAGCGACGCCGCGUGAGGGAUGACGGCCUUCGGGUUGUAAACCUCUGUUAGCAUCGAAGAAGCGAAAGUGACGGUAGGCGCAGAGAAAGCGCCGGCUAACUACGUG
rnacentral:rRNA from 1 species